UGGUCAGUAGGUUGGUCAUGCCUCUGGCAUGUACUGGUCUCACUGAUUCCUCCUUCCUGAUGAACCUUAAUGCCAUUAAUUUGGUGUUUUGGGGAAUUUGGACUGGUUUUACUUUGAAAAAUUAGAGUGUUUAAAGCAAGCUAACGCUUGAAUACAUUAGCAUGGAAUAAUGAAAUAGGACGUUCGAUCCUAUUUUGUUGGUUUCUAGGAUUGACGUAAUGA
rnacentral:rRNA from 1 species